rnacentral:sRNA from 2 species
UUUAAAGUUAAAAGGGAGUAACUGCCUUUUAAAAGGUGAUAAAGUCAACAUACUGACCUUAGGUCUGGCUUUAUCGUAACUAAUUUUAGUUA